rnacentral:rRNA from 1 species
AUUGAACGCUGGCGGCAGGCCUAACACAUGCAAGUCGAACGGUAACAGGAAGAAGCUUGCUUCUUUGCUGACGAGGGGCGGACGGGUGAGUAAUGUCUGGGAAACUGCCUGAUGGAGGGGGAUAACUACUGGAAACGGUAGCUAAUACCGCAUAACGUCGCAAGACCAAAGAGGGGGACCUUCGGGCCUCUUGCCAUCGGAUGUGCCCAGAUGGGAUUAGCUAGUAGGUGGGGUAACGGCUCACCUAGGCGACGAUCCCUAGCUGGUCUGAGAGGAUGACCAGCCACACUGGAACUGAGACACGGUCCAGACUCCUACGGGAGGCAGCAGUGGGGAAUAUUGCACAAUGGGCGCAAGCCUGAUGCAGCCAUGCCGCGUGUAUGAAGAAGGCCUUCGGGUUGUAAAGUACUUUCAGCGGGGAGGAAGGGAGUAAAGUUAAUACCUUGGCUCAUUGACGUUACCCGCAGAAGAAGCACCGGCUAACUCCGUG